rnacentral:rRNA from 1 species
GACGAACGCUGGCGGCGUGCUUAACACAUGCAAGUCGAACGGAAAGGCCCUGCUUUUGUGGGGUGCUCGAGUGGCGAACGGGUGAGUAACACGUGAGUAACCUGCCCUUGACUUUGGGAUAACUUCUGGAAACUGGGGCUAAUACCGGAUAGGAGCUCCUGCUGCAUGGUGGGGGUUGGAAAGUUUCGGCGGUUGGGGAUGGACUCGCGGCUUAUCAGCUUGUUGGUGGGGUAGUGGCUUACCAAGGCUUUGACGGGUAGCCGGCCUGAGAGGGUGACCGGCCACAUUGGGACUGAGAUACGGCCCAGACUCCUACGGGAGGCAGCAGUGGGGAAUAUUGCACAAUGGGCGGAAGCCUGAUGCAGCAACGCCGCGUGCGGGAUGACGGCCUUCGGGUUGUAAACCGCUUUCGCCUGUGACGAGGCGUGAGUGACGGUAAUGGGUAAAGAAGCACCGGCUAACUACGUG